GUCAGUGUGGUAUAAUGGUUUGAGUGUUGGACUAUGGCUCUGGAGACCAGGGUUCGAAUCCUGGCUCGGCCA